rnacentral:snoRNA from 1 species
ACGACCUUACUUGAACAGGAUUUGUUCUAUAGGAUCAUAUAGCUGCAUCCUUAAGGAAUGAAAGCGUGAUGAGGUGCAACAACAUCAUGACUGGCCAAAAAGGCAGAUUUUGUACUGGUUUUAUUUAUAGUAG